AGUGAACGCUGGCGGUAGGCCUAACACAUGCAAGUCGAACGGCAGCACAGUAAGAGCUUGCUCUUACGGGUGGCGAGUGGCGGACGGGUGAGGAAUACAUCGGAAUCUACUUUUUCGUGGGGGAUAACGUAGGGAAACUUACGCUAAUACCGCAUACGCCCUACGGGUGAAAGCAGGGGAUCUUCGGACCUUGCGCGAUUGAAUGAGCCGAUGUCGGAUUAGCUAGUUGGCGGGGUAAAGGCCCACCAAGGCGACGAUCCGUAGCUGGUCUGAGAGGAUGAUCGGCCACACUGGAACUGGGACACGGUCCAGACUCCUACGGGAGGCAGCAGUGGGGAAUAGUGGACAGUGGGCGCAAGCCUGAUCCAGCCAUACCGCGUGGGUGGAGAAGGCCUUCGGGUUGUAAAGCCCUUUUGUUGGGAAAGAAAAGCAGCAGGUUAAUACCCCGCUGUUCUGACGGUACCCAAAGAAUAAGCACCGGCUAACUUCGUG
rnacentral:rRNA from 1 species